rnacentral:rRNA from 1 species
AUACGUAGGGGGCGAGCGUUGUCCGGAAUUACUGGGCGUAAAGGGCGCGUAGGCGGUUAUUUAAGUCAGAUGUGAAAACCCUGGGCUUAACCUGGGGAUGGCAUUUGAAACUGGAUAACUUGAGGGCAGGAGAGGAAAGCGGAAUUCCCAGUGUAGCGGUGAAAUGCGUAGAUAUUGGGAGGAACACCAGUGGCGAAGGCGGCUUUCUGGACUGCACCUGACGCUGAGGCGCGAAAGCUAGGGUAGCGAACGGGAUUAGAUACCCCGGUAGUCCUAGCCGUAAACGAUGGGUACUAGGUGUGGGAGGUAUCGACCCCUUCCGUGCCGCAGUUAACGCAAUAAGUACCCCGCCUGGGGAGUACGGCCGCAAGGUUGAA